rnacentral:rRNA from 1 species
GAUGAACGCUGGCGGCGUGCCUAAUACAUGCAAGUCGAGCGAACUGAUUAGAAGCUUGCUUCUAUGACGUUAGCGGCGGACGGGUGAGUAACACGUGAGCAACCUGCCUGUAAGACUGGGAUAACUUCGGGAAACCGAAACUAAUACCGGAUAGGAUCUUCUCCUUCAUGGGAGAUGAUUGAAAGAUGGUUUCGGCUAUCACUUACAGAUGGGCCCGCGGUGCAUUAGCUAGUUGGUGAGGUAACGGCUCACCAAGGCAACGAUGCAUAGCCGACCUGAGAGGGUGAUCGGCCACACUGGGACUGAGACACGGCCCAGACUCCUACGGGAGGCAGCAGUAGGGAAUCUUCCGCAAUGGACGAAAGUCUGACGGAGCAACGCCGCGUGAGUGAUGAAGGCUUUCGGGUCGUAAAACUCUGUUGUUAGGGAAGAACAAGUAUGAGAGUAACUGCUCGUACCUUGACGGUACCUAACCAGAAAGCCACGGCUAACUACGUGCCAGCAGCCGCCGUAAAAC